rnacentral:tRNA from 1 species
GGAACUGUGCCUGAACUAAAGGAUUACUUUGAUAUAAUGAACAAUAGAGGUUAUAAUCCUCUCAGCUCCA